rnacentral:rRNA from 1 species
UACGUAGGUGGCUAGCGUUGUCCGGAUUUACUGGGCGUAAAGAGCUCGCAGGCGGUCGGUCAAGUCGAGUGUGAAAGCCCCCGGCUCAACUGGGGAGGGUCAUUCGAUACUGAUCGACUCGAAGGCAGGAGAGGGAAGCGGAAUUCCCGGUGUAGUGGUGAAAUGCGUAGAUAUCAGGAGGAACACCGGUGGCGAAGGCGGGUCUCUGGGCCGAUACUGACGCUGAGGAGCGAAAGCUAGGGUAGCAAACGGG